rnacentral:rRNA from 1 species
GAGGAAAAGAAACUAACAAGGAUUCCCCUAGUAACUGCGAGUGAAGCGGGAAAAGCUCAAAUUUAAAAUCUGUCAGUCUUUGGCUGUCCGAGUUGUAAUCUAGAGAAGUGUUAUCCGCGCUGGCCCGUGUACAAGUCUCCUGGAAUGGAGCGUCAUAGAGGGUGAGAAUCCCGUCUCUGACACGGACUACCAGGGCUUUGUGAUGCGCUCUCAAAGAGUCGAGUUGUUUGGGAAUGCAGCUCAAAAUGGGUGGUAAAUUCCAUCUAAAGCUAAAUAUUGGCGAGAGACCGAUAGCGAACAAGUACCGUGAGGGAAAGAUGAAAAGAACUUUGGAAAGAGAGUUAAACAGUACGUGAAAUUGCUGAAAGGGAAACGCUUGAAGUCAGUCGCGUUGUCCAGGGAUCAACCUUGCUUUUGCUUGGUGUACUUUCUGGUUAACGGGUCAGCAUCAAUUUUGAUCAUUGGAAAAAGGUUAGGGGAAUGUGGCAUCCUUGGAUGUGUUAUAGCCCUUGAUUGCAUACAAUGGUUGGGAUUGAGGAACUCAGCACGCCGCAAGGCCGGGUUUUUAACCACGUACGUGCUUAGGAUGCUGGCAUAAUGGCUUUAAUCGACCCGUCUUGAAACACGGACCAAGGAGUCUAACAUGCCUGCGAGUGUUUGGGUGAAAAACCCGAGCGCGUAAUGAAAGUGAAAGUUGAGAUCCCUGUCGUGGGGAGCAUCGACGCCCGGACCAGACCUUUUGUGACGGUUCCGCGGUAGAGCAUGUAUGUUGGGACCCGAAAGAUGGUGAACUAUGCCUGAAUAGGGUGAAGCCAGAGGAAACUCUGGUGGAGGCUCGUAGCGAUUCUGACGUGCAAAUCGAUCGUCAAAUUUGGGUAUAGGGGGCGAAAGACUAAUCGAACCAUCUAGU